rnacentral:rRNA from 1 species
GACGAACGCUGGCGGCGUGCCUAAUACAUGCAAGUAGAACGCACAGUUUAUACCGUAGCUUGCUACACCAUAGACCGUGAGUUGCGAACGGGUGAGUAACGCGUAGGUAACCUGCCUGGCAGCGGGGGAUAACUAUUGGAAACGAUAGCUAAUACCGCAUAAUAUUAAUUAUUGCAUGAUAAUUAAUUGAAAGGUGCAAUUGCACCACUACCAGAUGGACCUGCGUUGUAUUAGCUAGUAGGUGAGGUAACGGCUCACCUAGGCGACGAUACAUAGCCGAGCUGGGAGGGUGAUCGGCCACACUGGGACUGAGACACGGCCCAGACUCCUACGGGAGGCAGCAGUAGGGAAUCUUCGGCAAUGGACGAAAGUCUGACCGAGCAACGCCGCGUGAGUGAAGAAGGUUUUCGGAUCGUAAAGCUCUGUUGUAAGAGAAGAACGGGUGUGAGAGUGGAAAGUUCACACUGUGACGGUAUCUUACCAGAAAGGGACGGCUAACUACGUG